GACGAACGCUGGCGGCGUGCUUAACACAUGCAAGUCGAACGAAGUGGCGAACGGGUGAGUAACGCGUAAUCAACCUGCCCUCAGAGGGGGAAAACAGGUGGAAAACAAUGAUAAAUCCGCAAACUGAAGGAGGGGCAUGCGGUGGGUUGGCCAGUUGGGGGGGUAACGGCCCAACAAGGCCAGGAUGCGUAGCCGGGCUGGAGGGUGGAACGGCCACAUUGGGACUGGGACACGGCCCAGACUCCUUCGGGAGGCAGCAGUGGGGAAUCUUUCGCCACGGACGAAAGUCUGACGGAGCCACGCCGCGGUGGUGAUGACGGCCUUCGGGUUGUAAAGCUCUGUUAAUCGGGACGCGGUACCGGAAUAGAAAGCCACGGCUAACUACGUGCCAGCAGCCGCGGUAAUAC
rnacentral:rRNA from 1 species